CUUUGUGCAGCAUUGGUCUGUUCACUACCACAUUCAGCAUAGAACUGAUGUCAUUCUAUUACCCUGGCCCUUUCUCACUUUAAUCAGACUGAAUUAGCAUUUUUGCCCUAUAAUCUAUUUAUCUGCACUGUUUGUUCACUUAACUGGUUUGCAUUUGCCAUUUGCCUUGUGCUGCUUUAUUUAACACUAUUUUAUUUUGAUUAUUUUUUACAUGCCCUUGUAUAGUUGUAUUUUAUAUUUUAUAUUUGAUAUAGAUUUUUAGGCUCUACUGUUAAUGUUUUCUGUAUGCUCAGGGGUCUGAGAGUUAAGCAACUUUGAUUCUCUGUAUGUAUGUACUGUACAUGUGGAAGAAUUGACAAUAAAGCAAGUAAAAGCAAGUAAAAAAAAAAAAAAAAAAACAUUUAAUAACACUAAUUACUCACCAAAUCCUUCAUCUCUUGAAUUACUGUAUUGAAUUUAAAAUACUGUAAAUCUGUUAUCAAAUAAGCAUGUGUCCUAUUCUGUGUCCUACACUUCUGUAUCUGUAUGUGUGUGUUUGUGUAAAUAUUCAGAUGUAAGUGUUAUUUAAUUUUAUUUGCAAUAACUGUAACAGAUUACAGUUACUUUUAUUGUGUAAUUAAAUUACGUAACUUCAUUGCAUGUUAACAGUUACUCCCAACACUGGUUCUUGGUUAGCCAUUGACUUCUGUUUUUUUGUUUUUUCUUAUCAUGGAAGCCAUGGCUACCGGCAAACUUUUUUUUUUUUUUCAACAUUCUUCAAAAUCUUCUUCUUCUUUUGUGUUCAACAGGUUUGGAAAAACUUGAGUGUUUAAUGAGAACCCCUGAGAGCUGUUGAGAUACAGGCUAGUGGUCUGGAAAGAAGAGUGGUGGGCUGCCCCUCUGAAAGGCACAAUCGCUCUCUAAAUAACUCCCAUCCUGAGGCCUAUGCAUACUUGGGCUGCAGGAAAGUGAUCUCCAACCAGAGAAGCGUGUCCACUGUCCCAGCAAUGUCUCUUAACAACUUCAGUCCCAGAACCGCCUCAAGUCCAGCUCCAGUCCCGCGUGACCUCGGAGAAAAGUGGCACAGCUGAGUUCCUCAGAUGUGAAGAGGGU